AUCCCAAGAUCCAAUCUACCUCGUUUUGUUUAAAAGUGGUGACAGGGCAGAAAGCAGGUGUGAGGGGGUUUUGAUCUGAGGAGAUAAUGCAAAAUUGGAGGUUCAUGUGCAGUUCAAGACCUGUACAGUAUGUUGUAUAAUUUGAAUACACAAUUCCAGUGGUGCAAAUGCAUAUAGGUUUCUAUGUUGUAAUGCCUAAUAAAUAUUUUUCUAACAUGUAGAAUACCCCAAGGGCCAAAUCAAAACAUAUGUAAAAUUUAUAUUUUAAAAUGAUUAGUAAAUACGGAAAAUUUAUAU